CUGUAUUCUUUAUGUCCUGCUUUCUUAUGAUUGCUGGGUGUUAAAACUGGUGCACAGAGGAAAUGCUGCUCUUGAAGUAAUGGCGACCAGACAACCGUUGAGAGAUGGAUCCACAGAUGAACAAUCUUUCUGUUUGACUGCUAAUUCUAUCUCAUAUUC